UCUUGCAGGCCUCUUUAUUUUAGACAUGAAUUUUGACUAUGAGCUCAACAAGCUCAUGCAGAGGAAGAGCAGUGAUGGAGGCUUUGAAUCUUCCCUGUUGAAGAGACAAUGGAAAUAAUAUUCCAAGACUGAGGUUUUUCUAUCUAGUAGAACUUCUCCACUGAUAAGGCCAGUGACAAAUGGGCUCCAAAUUUAUUUGUCUUUGUAUAUAAUGUGGGUUGUGGUGUAAUUCAUGUAAUAGCUUCCAUAGUACAUCAAGGCUGAAGUUCUUGCUAUAAUAAGAGGAUCAAGGGACGAUUUAGGAAAGCAAACCUGAACAGCGACUAUGGCCUGGGCUUGGCAUUCAAACACGACAAACUGACCUCUGGUUGUAGAGGUGUCUUGAAGAAGAUGAAGAACACAAAGUUUACAGAAUGGAAGAAGCUGUUGCACCAUAUACAAUGAUUUGAGAUGCCAAUUGUGCUAAGUGUGCAUGCUUUUUCAUCAUAAUUAUUGACAACUGACUAUACUUUAAUUAAGAAAAGGAGCUGCUGGGCAUUCUUUUGGGCUUUGUAGUGUGCUUUACAGUCAGCUAUAAGUUAUUUUUAUCUUAAGUUUAUAAAGUUGUGUUUAAUGAGAAAGUUGUUAUUCACAUACCCAUGAGCCAUUUUCAAAUUAGAAAACAGAUUAGUUGAAAAGUCUUCAUUUUGUUGAAUACAUAUCUAGUCACAGACGUAGUCUCUGUUGUUGGUCACAGUAGCAUGGGCAGUAUAGUAAUUUGUUAAGAGCCUUGAAUCAUAAUUUGGAGGACUUGGGCCAAAAAUCUCAACUCUGCCACUGGCUGGUUGAAGCUGGUCAUAGGAUCUAGGAAAAGACUCUUAACCUUUCUGGGGCUCAGGUUCUUUAUCUGUAAAAUAGGGCUAGCGAAAUGCCCAGUCUAUCUUGAGAUUUUGAGGUUCAUUUCAGAUAAACAAUCUGAAAACUUUCUGUAAAGAAUAAGAGUUAUAUUGAUAUAUAAAAAGCAUUUAUUAACCAUAGCUAGUUUAGCCUCACUAUAUAUAAAUGAAUGGAGGCAUUUGUCUAAUAUCUCUUAAAUCCUGAUCUCCCUCCCUCCCCUACCUUGAACCCCACAGUUGUCUAGAAUUUAGAAUUACAUUUUGGAUUAUAACUUGUCUUUGAGACCAAAGUGGGAGUAUAAGAAGUCCUUCUAUCAGGUGAGGCCUAGGUGAGACAUAAGGACCAGCCUAGCCCUUAAGGCCUGAUGCCCAGAGGUGUAUUUUACAAGCAAGGAAUGCAGCAUGAGAGACUAGGGGGAACAGCAGAUGCCUGUGCCUGGCAGCAUUUGCUGAAAGCAGGCUUCCAGAAUCAAUAGCAGUUCUACUUAUUUUUAAUGACAUUGUUUCCUUCGUCUCUCAUCCUGUAUCUGGUACAGAUUAAAUCCCUGCCCUGCUUUUCAUACUUUGGACAAGCAAUGGCAGUGGGUCCAGUUCUGUCUGGUUUGGUAAGUGGGAGACAGACAGCCCAGAGAAGGCUCAGCCCUAGUUUUGGUUUGACCUAGGUGAUCGAAUCCAGAUGUUUCCAGUAGGUGACAGGGGAAAUAGUGAUCUCUGACUGUGACCUAAGCAGGAGGUAGAUAAUGCUUUGCUCUUUGACUUCUUCAGAAGGGCAUUUUAUGGCUAGUUAGGAGAAUUUGACUGAACCUGGAGGUCAGGCAAAGUAUAGUCUCCUUGGAGAGGACAGUCUAAGCAUUACCUUUAAGAGGUGGGGUAUUGACACAGAGCCAAAGUCUGAAGAGCACAGGAUAAACCAUGAAUUGCUCUGUGACAUCGAGAAGACCAUAUCAUCCUUUCUUAGCCUCAGUUUUCUUAUAUAUAAAGGAUAAUAAUCUCUGAAGUCCUUUCUGGUUUCCUCUUCUUUCUUCAAACUCCUUCAAUAAUGUCUACAAUUUAUCUGUAAAAACCAAGCUCCAUCAUGCAGUAUGGAUAGUUUACCUUGGUAAACACAGGGGCUACAACACAAGUGGGUCCCAGGCUGCUGCAGGGACUCUGCAUCUGGUUUAAGGAAUGAAAGAGAAUAUACUGCUAUCAUCCACAUAGUCAAGGCCCUGAAACCCAGGUACAUGGUGGCCAUAAACUAACUGGAUCAGUUUUAGGUGCUAUUAACUGGUUCGGUUUUUGCUGCUACCAACUAAAUCCUAAGUUUCCUUUUUGAAAAGGAUGAUGUUUCUAAUUAAAAUGUCAGUAUGGAUAUCUGCUCUAUUGCCGUCCUUUCUUCUUUCCCCUCCAGCAUUCCAUCAGUUGAGCUGGUG